UACGAAGGGGGCUAGCGUUGCUCGGAAUCACUGGGCGUAAAGCGCACGUAGGCGGAUUGCUAAGUCAGGGGUGAAAUCCUGGAGCUCAACUCCAGAACUGCCUUUGAUACUGGCGAUCUUGAGUCCGGGAGAGGUGAGUGGAACUGCGAGUGUAGAGGUGAAAUUCGUAGAUAUUCGCAAGAACACCAGUGGCGAAGGCGGCUCACUGGCCCGGUACUGACGCUGAGACACGAAAGCGUGGGGAGCAAACAGG
rnacentral:rRNA from 1 species